rnacentral:rRNA from 1 species
UACGGAGGGUGCGAGCGUUGUCCGGAAUCAUUGGGCGUAAAGGGCGCGUAGGUGGCCCCUCAAGCGUGCGGUGAAAGUCGGGGGCUCAACCCCCGAUCGGCCGUGCGAACUGGGGGGCUGGAGCACUGUAGAGGCAGGCGGAAUUCCGGGUGUAGCGGUGGAAUGCGUAGAGAUCCGGAAGAACACCGGUGGCGAAGGCGGCCUGCUGGGCAGUUUGCUGACACUGAGGCGCGACAGCGUGGGGAGCAAACAGG